GGACCCGACUGCUAUCAGAGUGGGACUAAGCCAUGCGAGUCAACAUAGCAAUAUGUGGCAUACGGCUCAGUAACACGUAGUCAACAUGCCCAGGGGACGUGGAUAACCUCGGGAAACUGAGGAUAAACCGCGAUAGGUCAUCACUUUUGGAAUGGGUAAUGACUUAAAUCUAUAUGGCCCCUGGAUUGGACUGCGGCCGAUCAGGCUGUUGGUGAGGUAAUGGCCCACCAAACCUGUAACCGGUACGGGCUUUGAGAGGAGGAGCCCGGAGAUGGGCACUGAGACAAGGGCCCAGGCCCUAUGGGGCGCAGCAGGCGCGAAACCUUUGCAAUAGGCGAAAGCUUGACAGGGUUACUUUGAGUGAUUUCCGUUAAGGAGAUCUUUUGGCACCUCUAAAAAUGGUGCAGAAUAAGGGGUGGGCAAGUUUGGUGU
rnacentral:rRNA from 1 species